UGACAGGUGGUGCAUGGUUGUCGUCAGCUCGUGUCGUGAGAUGUUGGGUUAAGUCCCGCAACGAGCGCAACCCCUAUUGUUAGUUGCCAUCAUUCAGUUGGGCACUCUAGCGAGACUGCCGGUAAUAAACCGGAGGAAGGUGGGGAUGACGUCAAAUCAUCAUGCCCCUUAUGACCUGGGCUACACACGUGCUACAAUGGUUGGUACAACGAGUUGCGAGUCGGUGACGGCGGGCUAAUCUCUUAAAGCCAAUCUCAGUUCGGAUUGUAGGCUGCAACUCGCCUACAUGAAGUCGGAAUCGCUAGUAAUCGCGGAUCAGCACGCCGCGGUGAAUACGUUCCCGGGCCUU
rnacentral:rRNA from 1 species